rnacentral:rRNA from 1 species
GACGAACGCUGGCGGCGUGCUUAACACAUGCAAGUCGAACGGAAAGGCCCUGCUUUUAUGGGGUGCUCGAGUGGCGAACGGGUGAGUAACACGUGAGUAACCUGCCCUUGACUUUGGGAUAACUUCAGGAAACUGGGGCUAAUACCGGAUAGGAGCUCCUGCUGCAUGGUGGGGGUUGGAAAGUUUCGGCGGUUGGGGAUGGACUCGCGGCUUAUCAGCUUGUUGGUGGGGUAGUGGCUUACCAAGGCUUUGACGGGUAGCCGGCCUGAGAGGGCGACCGGCCACAUUGGGACUGAGAUACGGCCCAGACUCCUACGGGAGGCAGCAGUGGGGAAUAUUGCACAAUGGGCGGAAGCCUGAUGCAGCAACGCCGCGUGCGGGAUGACGGCCUUCGGGUUGUAAACCGCUUUCGCCUGUGACGAAGCGUGAGUGACGGUAAUGGGUAAAGAAGCACCGGCUAACUACGUG